rnacentral:lncRNA from 1 species
AGAAGUCAAGACUCAUACUAUUCAGGACAACGUUUAAUAGAUGGUCUUAGUAGGUAGAAUUAAUCAGCGGGGUCAGCAAGACUAAUAAGCCACUGGAUAUCAACCCCUUCAGUAUUCUGAUCCCCUGGAAGGAUAACUUACUGGCGCUGAAUACAAAGUAGAACUACCAUGCAUGUAAAAGCACAAACUAAUCUCACAUACUCCGUCUGAUUCAGAAACACAAAAAUAUGGCUAAUACUACACCAUCAUCAUCAUAGUUCUGUAGAGAAAUAUAUAGGACAAUUCCACAGCAGUAAGCUUGUAAACUUGUAGUUCAAACCUAGAGAGAGUUCAGUUGUCUUCAGUCUGCACUUUGAAUAUCAAGAUUUCUGCAAUAAUUCCAUCCCUUCAAGUCCACACCUAAAAGGCCUUCAAAAAGAAAUCAUGGAUGUCAGUAUGCUAUUGCUAACGAUGAUUUAAAAAAACAUAUGAAGAUAGGAGCGUUACCGUAGCAAGUCCCUCUUAGACAUGGAAUUCAAGGGUACUACAAAAGAUCGUCAUGUAUGUAUUGGAAGUAAAUUUCUUCCGAGUGAAACCUUUUUUAUGGUAAAGAUCUGAGGGAAACGUUAUUAUAACACAAAUGUGACACUUCUUUCCAUAUCUACACUUACUGUGUUCCAAAUGGAAGAAUAAGUACAACUGAUUUCAUUGCCAAAGAAUUCAUACUCUGCCCACUUGAACUGUUGAUCUUAAAACUGCAUCCACCAAGUUAUAAUGUAGAUUUCAUACUCUCAUUCCACUACCCUAACCCAUCCUGCAAGUCUACCACCACAACCAAAAUAGGUCCAAUUGUUAAGCUUCAGAAUUCAAAUUAUCAAUCAGCAGUUACAUCAACACCUUCAACCUAAGCAAAGCCAACGAUUACGUAUUAGAACAACUCGAGGUAACAAACAAACGCUACUCUUAAUUCUUAACAAAUGUUGUGCUGAUUUCUUAUUAGUUAUGGAAUUUCAGACACCUUCAUCUUCAGCAGUAUUUUUUUUGAACUUGGUUCUUAAUGACAUAUGUCCAAGUAGGGCCAGAAGUAAAAACAGAGAUGACCUUUAAGUAGGUUACCAGAGGUCCAAGGGGAUUGUGAUGUGCUGGAUAAAAAAUGAAAUAAAUUCAACCAAGACAUUGGCUUCCUGGUGUAUUCUUCUUCAUCUUUAUCAUCACCCUGGAACCUACAAAUAUAGUAUUGAGAAUAACUCUAACCAACUUUAUUGGCAUCCAUCAAAUUAUCCAAGUGAAGCUGCUUCCAUAAUGAGACCUACCAAUUUCCAAGUCCAUACAAUUAAUUGAACACUUGAAAAACCACCGGUUGUGUUGUUUUUUGGAUUCAAAGAAAUCGCCACAUUUGUCACUGGAUCUGUCCUUCACUUGACACCAUCUCUAGCAAAAGUCAGUCCAAGAAGCUGACCAUCACCUGCUGCUAGAACCAAACGAAAGGAAAAUAUGUGAUAUCUAUGAUUAAGGCAAUAACUCUGAGAUGGGCAAUUGAUAGUAGUUUGGACAGGAAAAUGUACACAAUAUUUAUGCUUGAGCCAAGAAGUCAGAAACAUUGUAUAAUAGGUUGGAUAUCAAACAGGCUACUAAGAUUUACAGGCAUAAUCAACAGGCCUGGCAGAACAAAUAAAACAAUUUUUUGAACAGUUCAUAAUAAUAAGCUUCAUUCGAUCAACUAAAAUGGCUACAACAAACAUAAGCCAUGGACUGUGAGCCCUAAACCCCAAAUUGUUAGUAAGAAAUUGAUUUGAGUUAGGGAGACAUUAAUAGAGUACUAAAACCCUAGAAAACCAACGCUGCAGCUGGGUCAUUGCCAACCAAAAAUUCCAUAAUCGUUUUCUAGAGCUGGAUUAGAAUGCUCAGCUCUGUUUGUUGCUUAUAGUUAAAAACAAAGAACCAACAACUCAUAAGCCCGAUGAAAAAGAGAGAUUCAGAACAACUUACACAAACCAAUUACUUCUUGCUUCCCUAUCUUGUAAGACCGAACAACCAGCUUCGCCAUCCCUGUCUUCGUGGGGGUUGUGGUAGACUUAAUGCAACUCUUUUUUUUUGUUGAAAACAGAACACCUAGCCGUGAAGGAGCUGCAAAGAGAACACAUACAUUGGAGAUUGAUGGGUACAAUUUUUCUAUUAUUCACCAUCAGGGACGAUCAUCGCAAAAUUGGGUGAAUCUGAAAAAAGAAGGCAGCGAGAGAACUACGAUGGAGGGAUGAAAGCAAGAGAGGAUUUGGAAGAGAGGAAGUAAGAUGAGGGAGAAGGAGGCUUAGAGACUGGGAAAAACUUUGGAAGUGCAUUUGAAAUGGAACUGAAUGAUCGAGAGACUGGUUGGGAUCCAAUCCAAUCAAGAAACAGAAGUACUGUUCUAUUUGGCAGGGGACUGGGGGUGUACUGUUCAUCGCGAACAGUAUGCUACAGUUGGUGGUUGCUCCGUUUUGUUGUGAUUUGGGUGCGGGUGAAUUGGGUUCUGGCCCGCCCCGCGUUGGUCCGUUUCCUAGUCGGAAUGAGAAAAUCAAACCGCGUAAAUAUGUGACCGUUGGGGUUGAUCGGAAUCGUAAUUAGGAACAAACUUCAGGCAUUAC